UGACAUGCCACAGAGAGUUUGAUCUCUUA
rnacentral:piRNA from 1 species